rnacentral:rRNA from 1 species
CGUGUAGGCUGCUUCGCAAGUCGGAUGUGAAAGCCCUGGGCUCAACCCAGGAAGUGCAUUCGAAACUGCAGAGCUGGAGUCCUGGAGAGGAAGGCGGAAUUCUCGGUGUAGAGGUGAAAUUCGUAGAUAUCGAGAGGAACACCGGUGGCGAAGGCGGCCUUCUGGACAGUGACUGACGCUGAGACGCGAAAGCGUGGGGAGCAAACAGGAUUAGAUACCCUGGUAGUCCACGCCGUAAACGAUGGGUGCUAGGUGUUGCGGGCUUUGACCCCUGCAGUGCCGUAGCUAACGCAUUAAGCACCCCGCCUGGGGAGUACGGCCGCAAGGCUAAA